rnacentral:rRNA from 1 species
GUAAACGGCGGCCGUAACUAUAACGGUCCUAAGGUAGCGAAAUUCCUUGUCGGGUAAGUUCCGACCUGCACGAAUGGCGUAAUGAUGGCCAGGCUGUCUCCACCCGAGACUCAGUGAAAUUGAACUCGCUGUGAAGAUGCAGUGUACCCGCGGCAAGACGGAAAGACCCCGUGAACCUUUACUAUAGCUUGACACUGAACAUUGAGCCUUGAUGUGUAGGAUAGGUGGGAGGCUUUGAAGUGUGGACGCCAGUCUGCAUGGAGCCGACCUUGAAAUACCACCCUUUAAUGUUUGAUGUUCUAACGUUGGCCCGUUAUCCGGGUUGCGGACAGUGUCUGGUGGGUAGUUUGACUGGGGCGGUCUCCUCCUAAAGAGUAACGGAGGAGCACGAAGGUUGGCUAAUCCUGGUCGGACAUCAGGAGGUUAGUGCAAUGGCAUAAGCCAGCUUGACUGCGAGCGUGACGGCGCGAGCAGGUGCGAAAGCAGGUCAUAGUGAUCCGGUGGUUCUGAAUGGAAGGGCCAUCGCUCAACGGAUAAAAGGUACUCCGGGGAUAACAGGCUGAUACCGCCCAAGAGUUCAUAUCGACGGCGGUGUUUGGCACCUCGAUGUCGGCUCAUCACAUCCUGGGGCUGAAGUAGGUCCCAAGGGUAUGGCUGUUCGCCAUUUAAAGUGGUACGCGAGCUGGGUUUAGAACGUCGUGAGACAGUUCGGUCCCUAUCUGCCGUGGGCGCUGGAGAACUGAGGGGGGCUGCUCCUAGUACGAGAGGACCGGAGUGGACGCAUCACUGGUGUUCGGGUUGUCAUGCCAAUGGCACUGCCCGGUAGCUAAAUGCGGAAGAGAUAAGUGCUGAAAGCAUCUAAGCACGAAACUUGCCCCGAGAUGAGUUCUCCCUGACUCCCUGAGAGUCCUGAAGGAACGUUGAAGACGACGACGUUGAUAGGCCGGGUGUGUAAGCGCAGCGAUGCGUUGAGCUAACCGGUACUAAUGAACCGUGAGGCUUAACCUU